CUUUCUUCACUUUCAUCACACUCAUAAAACAUCACAUAAUUUUUUUAUUUUUUUUCAAAAAAACCUUUCUUUUUUUUUUUCUCUUCGUUUUUUCUCCUAUUAGGGUUAAAUAUGUUUCCUUUGCAAAAAAAAUAAAUAAAAAGAAAUGGUCCUUUUUGUGUUUUUCCACAGCUUUCUUGAACUGCAUCUACAAUUUCAAUUCAUUAUUGAAAAAGAAAAAAUUGAUUCAUAUUGUUGUUGCGGUUCAAUAAAGCUGUGGGAAGAUACAGAUAGGGUCAAAUAGAAUUGCUACAAUUGAAUUGAAGUUUAUUGGUUGUUUUGAGUUGAGGAUCUAUCGGAAACAAUUUUUUAUUCGCGUGUAUUUUAUCCUUUUAGAUCUAACUAUACGUAUUAUAUUGGGUUUGUUGUUAUUCCUAUUAUAUAGUUUCAAGAUUUUGUGAUGCAUGAUAAUUAAAAGAUGUUUAUGAUGAUCAGUUAUUGUGUUUGUGGCUAUCUAUCUACCAUACAAAGGAUGAGUCUGUUUCAAUAUAGAUCUGAUCCUUUUGUAAAGAGCAAAUCGGUCUGGUUGAUAUUGUAUUGAAAUUUUAUAUAAUUUUGUUGUUGAAAUUGUAUUGAAUUUCAUAUAAUUUUGUUUUUGAGCUGUAAUUUGUUUAUUAUUAUUAUCAAAAUUUUCACUCCAAGCAUAUUUUCUUACUAUUCAAA